rnacentral:rRNA from 1 species
GACGAACGCUGGCGGCGUGCCUAAUACAUGCAAGUCGAGCGGACAGAUGGGAGCUUGCUCCCUGAUGUUAGCGGCGGACGGGUGAGUAACACGUGGGUAACCUGCCUGUAAGACUGGGAUAACUCCGGGAAACCGGGGCUAAUACCGGAUGGUUGUUUGAACCGCAUGAUUCAGACAUAAAAGGUGGCUUCGGCUACCACUUACAGAUGGACCCGCGGCGCAUUAGCUAGUUGGUGAGGUAACGGCUCACCAAGGCGACGAUGCGUAGCCGACCUGAGAGGGUGAUCGGCCACACUGGGACUGAGACACGGCCCAGACUCCUACGGGAGGCAGCAGUAGGGAAUCUUCCGCAAUGGACGAAAGUCUGACGGAGCAACGCCGCGUGAGUGAUGAAGGUUUUCGGAUCGUAAAGCUCUGUUGUUAGGGAAGAACAAGUGCCGUUCAAAUAGGGCGGCACCUUGACGGUACCUAACCAGAAAGCCACGGCUAACUACGUGCCAGCAGCCGCGGUAAUACGUAGGUGGCAAGCGUUGUCCGGAAUUAUUGGGCGUAAAGGGCUCGCAGGCGGUUUCUUAAGUCUGAUGUGAAAGCCCCCGGCUCAACCGGGGAGGGUCAUUGGAAACUGGGGAACUUGAGUGCAGAAGAGGAGAGUGGAAUUCCACGUGUAGCGGUGAAAUGCGUAGAGAUGUGGAGGAACACCAGUGGCGAAGGCGACUCUCUGGUCUGUAACUGACGCUGAGGAGCGAAAGCGUGGGGAGCGAACAGGAUUAGAUACCCUGGUAGUCCACGCCGUAAACGAUGAGUGCUAAGUGUUAGGGGGUUUCCGCCCCUUAGUGCUGCAGCUAACGCAUUAAGCACUCCGCCUGGGGAGUACGGUCGCAAGACUGAAACUCAAAGGAAUUGACGGGGGCCCGCACAAGCGGUGGAGCAUGUGGUUUAAUUCGAAGCAACGCGAAGAACCUUACCAGGUCUUGACAUCCUCUGACAAUCCUAGAGAUAGGACGUCCCCUUCGGGGGCAGAGUGACAGGUGGUGCAUGGUUGUCGUCAGCUCGUGUCGUGAGAUGUUGGGUUAAGUCCCGCAACGAGCGCAACCCUUGAUCUUAGUUGCCAGCAUUCAGUUGGGCACUCUAAGGUGACUGCCGGUGACAAACCGGAGGAAGGUGGGGAUGACGUCAAAUCAUCAUGCCCCUUAUGACCUGGGCUACACACGUGCUACAAUGGACAGAACAAAGGGCAGCGAAACCGCGAGGUUAAGCCAAUCCCACAAAUCUGUUCUCAGUUCGGAUCGCAGUCUGCAACUCGACUGCGUGAAGCUGGAAUCGCUAGUAAUCGCGGAUCAGCAUGCCGCGGUGAAUACGUCCCCGGGCCUUGUACACACCGCCCGUCACACCACGAGAGUUUGUAACACCCG